rnacentral:rRNA from 1 species
UACGUAGGGGGCAAGCGUUGUCCGGAAUUAUUGGGCGUAAAGCGCGCGCAGGCGGCUAUGUAAGUCUGGUGUAUAACCUCGGGGCUCAACCCCGGGUCGCACUGGAAACUGUGUAGCUUGAGUACAGAAGAGGAGAGUGGAAUUCCACGUGUAGCGGUGAAAUGCGUAGAUAUGUGGAGGAACACCAGUGGCGAAGGCAACUCUCUGGGCUGUAACUGACGCUGAGGCGCGAAAGCGUGGGGAGCAAACAGG